GGGCGGAACGGGUGAGUAACGACGGUGGGGAAUCUGCCUAGUAAGGUGGGGGAUAACAUUCGGAAACGGAUGCAAUACCGCAUAUAUUCAAAAACCGCAUGGUUCUGAAAGAAAGACGGCUUUGCUGUCGCUUAUAGGUGAUCCCGCGGCGUAUUAGUUAGUUGGUGGGGUAAUGGCCUACCAAGACCAUGAUACGUAGCCGACCUGAGAGGGUGAUCGGCCACACUGGGACUGAGACACGGCCCAGACUCCUACGGGAGGCAGCAGUAGGGAAUCUUCCACAAUGGGUGCAAACCUGAUGGAGCAAUGCCGCCGUGAAUGAAGAAGGUCUUCGGAUCGUAAAGUUCUGUUAUUAGAGAAGAACAAGUCAAGGAGUAACUGUCUUGACUUUGACGGUACCUAACCAGAAAGUCACGGCUAACUACGUGCCAGCCGCCGC
rnacentral:rRNA from 1 species